GUAGCAUAAUAAUUUGUUAUUUAAUUGGUAACUGGAAUGAAGGAUUUAACAAAUAAAGUUUAUUUUGUGAAAAAGGCUAUAAUUUAAAUUUUUAAGUUAGAAUGCUUAAAUGAUUUAAAGGGACGAUAAGACCCUAAAAACUUUAUUUAUUGAUUUAAUUAUUGGUAGUUAUUUUGUAUCUAUGGGAUUGGUAUUUUUAGUUGGGGCAACGGGUUUAAUAAUUUAAAUUAAUUAUAACUAUUUAAGGUUUUUGGUCCUUUAUAUAAGGAUAAAUGGAAUUAGUUACUUUAGGGAUAACAGCAUAAUAAAUUUGGAAAGUUCCUAUUGAUAAAUUUGUUUGUGACCUCGAUGUUGAAUUGAAUAUUUCUUUAUGGAGAAGCAGCUAUAAAAGAGGGUUUGUUCAACCUUUAAAUUUUC
rnacentral:rRNA from 1 species